CCUACGGGUGGCAGCAGUGGGGGAUAUUGGACAAUGGGGGAAACCCUGAUCCAGCGAUGCCGCGUGAGGGAAGAAGGUUUUCGGAUUGUAAACCUCUGUGGAGGGGGACGAUAAUGACGGUACCCCUUUAGGAAGCCACGGCUAACUACGUGCCAGCAGCCGCGGUAAUACGUAGGUGGCAAGCGUUAUCCGGAUUUACUGGGUGUAAAGGGCGUGUAGGCGGGAGAGCAAGUCAGACGUGAAAUUCCAGGGCUCAACCCUGGAACUGCGUUUGAAACUGUUCUUCUUGAGUGAUGGAGAGGCAGGCGGAAUUCCGUGUGUAGCGGUGAAAUGCGUAGAUAUACGGAGGAACACCAGUGGCGAAGGCGGCCUGCUGGACAUUAACUGACGCUGAGGCGCGAAAGCGUGGGGAGCAAACAGGAUUAGAUACCCGAGUAGUC
rnacentral:rRNA from 1 species